UUUAAAACCCCGCCGCACGUCCUCUCUUUUAUAGUCUAGUUCCUGGCGGCUCUUUAGCUACCAGUGUCUCCUCCACUACAACUGUCCCGGCGCCUUUGUGAAAAUGGCAACGAAGGAUGUGAGUUUCCUGAGGGCGAUGUUACUGGUGUCGAUGCUGGUGGUGGUGGUGGUGGUGAUGGUGACGCCGGGAAAUGCAUCACCAGCACCAAAACGAGACAGGGGAGGACAGAGAGAUGUUGAGUCGCCCGGUUGUGAUCGUGGUGGUCGUGGUGGUGGUCGUUGUGGUGAAGGUGGAGGUGAAGAGAAUGAAGGUGAUGAAGAGAAUGAAGGUGAUGCGGAGUUUGUAGAAGGUGAUGAAGAUGAGUAUGGUGACUAUGACUACGAACAUGAUCCUGAGUAUGAAGAUGAGUAUGAAGAUGAAGACUACUACGAUGAUGAUUAUGAUGAAGAUGAAUAUUACGAAGAUGAAUAUGAUGAAGAUGAGGAAUAUUGAGGAAAAUUGUUACGAAGAUGAUGAAAAUGAAGAUAAAUUGGUACGGUAAUUUGCAGAGGUGACGUGAGUGGACAGCAGAACACCAGAACACCAGAACACCAGAACAGCAGAACAACAUAACAACACAGCAGAGCAGAUCAUCAACAGAACAAAACUUAAGAACAAAAAGGAACAUCAGAACAAUAGAACAGCAAAAGGGGACAUUGUAACAUAACAGCAAGUCAUCAUAUUCCUCUCUUCCCUGUUGGUUCCCUGUACUGUUACAUCACCAAGCUUCCUGCACUCACACAGCAAAUAAAGCAACAAUUACA